AGAAUCCGAUGGGACCACCAUUGUAUAUGUGGUCUGCCAUUGGCUGAAGCAUCAUUAUUUGGUGCAUGACUGUAGAACUUUAAGCAAUGAUGAAAAUGCUCUAUAUCCACACUAUCCAAUAUGGUAACCACUAGCCACUUGUGACUACUGAGUGUCUGAAAGGUUCUGCUUGAAUUCUUGCCCUGGCUCUUGGUGAAGGAUCGGCCUGCUGGAUCUGAGUCAUCCACCUAUAAGAGGGACAACACCACACAUUGGUCGCUGCUCUCAAGCCCCUGGAAUACCACCCCACUUGGCUUCUCCUGGUAACAGUGGCUGCCUUUGCUUGCCUGUCUCCAACUCCUCCCAAGAGCAUUGCUGACUAUACCACCCACAUAAACAAAAACUUUUUGGGAGUCCUCCAGAAUUUUUAAGAGUUAUCUAAACUAUUGCCUUUAAUGACCAGGAACUCCAAUUUGAGAAGUUACCCUACGUUAAGCCAACAGCAGCCUGGCUCCUUCAUCCUGUGCAGUAUGGGACAGAGCUGGGUCCUUGUUGUCAUCAGCCAGACAAGCACACAUUAAAGCCCACCUUAGCCAUUGGCAUUACAGCUUUAAAAGCAGCUCCAUCCUACCAUGCUGUCACUCUACUCAAUCACGUGAUCUUAACGACCAGCUCUACAUAUCCUCUCUCCAUGCCCCCACCACCAUCCCCCACCAACAAAUCCGGUAAUCUAUCUCUGUCAAUAGUCCUGCAGUGAAUUCCGAAUAAGUUUUUCUCUUCCCUGGCCUGCCGUUUACGUAGUACCCUGGAUGAAUCUAUACUUACUCCAUAGUAAGUAGUACCUUGGAUGAAUCUAUACUUGCAUCCAAUGGAAAUGAGAGUGAUGGUGCAGAGUUAUCCGAAGUAACUCCAGCUAUGUUGUGGAUCUUCUAAUCAUGGGCUCAUCUAAGCCUUCCCAGAUAUCACUCUAGUUUUUACAAUCUUUGUUUAUGACAAUUAGGGCUGUAACAUUGGCUGUAGACAUUUGUUGCAUCAAGGAACUCAGCUUCCACUGAAGUUCUGAAGUUAAUCAGUUUCUGAUCUUGUUCUGCAACUCUCUGCAAGAAGAAAAAUCACCAGGAAAUAGUGCAUCCUGAAAGGAGUCAAAGUUUCCUUAUCCAGCUGGAGCAGUGUGAUCUCGGACCAGAGUCAAUUCCUUGCCCAACAGACUUCACAUUGAGCCAUGAGAAGCAGCCUACUUACCCUUACCUGGACACUUCUCCAAAACCUGUGAAAUGGCCUCUGUCACUGCCUCAAAGCCUCAUCCUUGGUGGGCAACUCACCUGGAUCCUGAGACCAAAAUAUAGAGCUUAAUGAACUGCUC
rnacentral:lncRNA from 1 species